rnacentral:rRNA from 1 species
CGAAUGGCUCAUUAUAUAAGUUAUCGUUUAUUUGAUAGUGCCUUACUACUUGGAUAACCGUGGUAAUUCUAGAGCUAAUACAUGCUAAAAGACCCGACUUUGGAAGGGUUGUAUUUAUUAGAUUAAAAACCAAUGCCCUCUGGGCUCACUGGUGAAUCAUGAUAACUUCGCGAAUCGCAUGGCCUUGUGCCGGCGAUGGCUCAUUCAAAUUUCUUCCCUAUCAACUUUCGAUGUUUGGGUAGUGGCCAAACAUGGUUGCAACGGGUAACGGAGGGUUAGGGCUCGACCCCGGAGAAGGAGCCUGAGAAACGGCUACUACAUCCAAGGAAGGCAGCAGGCGCGCAAAUUACCCAAUCCCGAUUCGGGGAGGUAGUGACAAUAAAUACUGAUACAGGGCUCUUUUGGGUCUUGUAAUUGGAAUGAGUACAAUUUAAAUCCCUUAACGAGGAACAAUUAGAGGGCAAGUCUGGUGCCAGCAGCCGCGGUAAUUCCAGCUCUAAUAGCGUAUAUUAAAGUUGUUGUGGUUAAAAAGCUCGUAGUUGAACCUUGGGCCUGGCUGGCGGGUCCGCCUCACCGCGUGUACUUCGCCGGCCGGGCCUUUCCCUCUGUGGAACCCUAUGCCCUUCACUGGGUGUGGUGGGGAAACAGGACUUUUACUUUGAAAAAAUUAGAGUGCUCCAGGCAGGCCUAUGCUCGAAUAUAUUAGCAUGGAAUAAUAAAAUAGGACGUGUGGUUCUAUUUUGUUGGUUUCUAGGACCGCCGUAAUGAUUAAUAGGGACAGCCGGGGGCAUCAGUAUUCAAUUGUCAGAGGUGAAAUUCUUGGAUUUAUUGAAGACUAACUACUGCGAAAGCAUUUGCCAAGAAUGUUUUCAUUAAUCAGGAACGAAAGUUAGGGGAUCGAAGACGAUCAGAUACCGUCGUAGUCUUAACCAUAAACUAUGCCGACUAGGGAUCGGACGAUGUUAUUACUUGACUCGUUCGGCACCUUACGAGAAAUCAAAGUGC